GGUUUCAUGGUGUAGUUGGUUAUCACAUCAUCUUGACGUGGUGAGGGUCCCCGGAUCGAACCCGGGUGGAACCA
rfam:Entamoeba histolytica HM-1:IMSS scf_1104750518073 genomic scaffold, whole genome shotgun sequence.